AGCUACUCGGGAGGCUGAGGCAGGAGGAUCGCUUGAGCCCCAGAGUUUGAGGUUGCUAUGAGCUAUCAUGAUGCCAUAGUACUCUAGCCAUGGUCACAGAAUGAGACUCUGUCUUAAAAAACAAAAAAAACAAAAAUGAGUCAAAACUUUUAGGGCCCUUCUACGUGAUCACGCUGAGCUAGCGCCCAGGCCUGGAAUCGGGCCGCAGCCUCCUCAGCUGUGUCCUCCGCCUUGUGACCAUGGACCCUCGCAAAGUGAGCGAGCUUUGGGCCUUCGUGAAAAUGUGUAAGUAGGAUCCGAGCAUUCUGCACACCGAGGAAAUGCGCUUCCUGAGGGAGUGGGUAGAGAGCAUGGGGGGUAAAGUACCACCUGCUACUCAGAAAGCUAAAUCAGAAGAAAAUGUUAAGGAAGAAAAAACAGAUAAUGAGAAGGCAGAGGAAAACAUACAGACAGAGGAACGAUCAAGUGAGGAAAGUGAUCUAGAAAUUGAUAAUGAAGGUGUGAUUGAACCAGACACUGAUGCCCCGCAAGAAAUGGGAGAUGAAAAUGUAGGGAUAACCAAGGAGAUGAUGGAUCAGGCAAAUGAUAAGAAAGUUGCAGCCAUUGAAGCCCUAAAUGAUGGUGAACUACAGGAAGCCAUUGACUUGUUCACAGAUGCCAUCAAGCUGAAUCCUCGGUUGGCCAUUUUGUAUGCCAAGAGAGCCAGUGUCUUCAUCAAAUUACAGAAGCCAAAUGCUGCCAUCCGAGAUUGUGAUAGAGCCAUUGAAAUAAAGCCUGAGUCAGCUCAGCCUUACAUGUGGAGAGGGAAAGCACACAGACUUCUGGGCCAUUGGGAAGAAGCAGCCCAUGGUCUUGCCCUUGCCUGUAAACUGGAUUAUGAUGAAGAUGUUAGUGCAAUGCUGAAAGAAGUUCAACCUAGGGCCCAGAAAAUUGCAGAACAUCGGCGAAAGUAUGAGCGAGAACGUGAAGAACGAGAGAUCAAAGAAACAAUAGAAAGGGUUAAGAAGGCCCAGAGGGAGGAAGAAGCCAGACGACAAUCAAGAGCUCAGUACAGCUCUUUUCCAGGUGGCUUUCCUGGGGAAUGCCUGGUAGUUUUCCUGGGGGAAUGCCUGGACUGGGAGGAGGCAUGCCCGGAAUGGCAGGAAUGCCUGGACUCAAUGAAAUUCUUAGUGAUCAGAGGCUCUUGCAGCCAUGCAGGAUCCAGACUUUAUGGUGGCCUUCCAGGAUGUGGCCCAGAACCCGGCAAAUAUGUCAAAAUGCCAGAGCAACCCAAAGGUUAUGCAUCUCAUCAGUAAAUUGUCAGCCAAAUUUGGAGGUCAAGCGUGAUGCCCUUCCAACAAACAAAGCCCAUGCUGAAGGAAAAGCAACCUGUAUCACCUCAUGGAUGUCGCAAUAAUACAGACCAGUGUACCUCUGACCUUCUCAGCAAGAGAGCUGGGUGCUUUGAAGAUAAUCCCUACCCCUCUGCCCCAGAUGCAGCUGAAGCAUUUUUCAGUGGUUUGCCAUUAGGGUAUUCAUUCAGAUAAUGUUUUCCAACUAGAAAUUACAAUCUUUAGACACUUUUUAAACCUUAAAAAUAUUUAAACUAAUUAAAAGGGUAUGCUAAUUUCUACAUUUUUCUUACUAAUCAUUUUGGAUUUUUUUCCUUUGAAUUAUUGGGCAAGGAAGAUACUUAUAUGGGAGGUUAUUGCUCUAGUUUGAGUAAAAUAAAAGUUUAUUGGUGGGGGCAAAUAUAAUUCAUUUAAAUAGAUAAAGUUUGAGUUGGAUAUAUGGUUACUGAGGCAUUUUAAUUUGUCUUUUUAAAUGCUUUAUUUUUUUUAAAAAAAUGAUUUAUUUCGAUAAAACUAUUGGGACCACCAGUAUUUCAGUAGGACCUGGGUAGGGACUGGAAGUACUUGGCAGGGCAGCAGCAGUCUUGCUGUGUUUUAUAUAACAUGCACCCUUGUGCAGGUUGAAUCUUACACUGUGGUGAAGGGAUGAUUUUUUUUUUUUUUGUAAUGCUGCAGUAGAGUUGGAUUACUUAGCUCUGUUCUUGUCCAAUAUAUCAAAUAAAUGUUUCAUGUUAUUUCCACAAAACAGAAAUAAGGAAGUAAUUUUCUUUUUAUAUUUCUAUGUUUAAAAUUACCUUUCCUGUUAAAAAAUGCCCAUCUCUAUGUCCGCUUUCUGCUUG